UACACCCCGGGCGGACUGGUCGCCAGUCAAUGGCAGCCCACGCACUCACGCCCGAGGAAGAUUCUGUGUCCGACAAAACAAACGUCAAUGCUUUUGGAGACAAAGACUCAAAUGCAAACCGCUACGGGCUGCUAGUCCAGUCCAGUCCGGUCCGGUCCAGUCCAAUGACAAUACGGGCGGUCUAAUAUUAGUCGCCGCCGCGCCAAGUGCCAGCCAGCCAGCCAGUCAGCCAGCCAGCCAAUGCAGACAUGAUCACGGCGAGAGAGAAUCCAGUCGGUUCAAAUGAAAGAUGGAAUGUUUGAUACGGCUCUUGCGUCGGCGAAGACGACAUCAAAUGCCGGAGGAGCUGCACUGCACUCCAGACAUACCCCCAGCCCAGCCCCGGUGUCGCGGAAAUACGACGAGGUGACUGGGAUUUAGUUUUCACAGGGGAAAAAAAAAGGCCCCCCACCCUCAAAUGUUGUGUACAAGUCGUGUUCAUAUAUCAGUGCCUGCAGUUAUGGAUUUUUCACCCCGAGUUUUCUUUGUAUCUUAUCUAUUUAUUUAUUAAUACUGUCAUUGUUUGGAUCAAUUGAUUCCAAAAGUCUAUGCUUUACUAUCGCACUAUUACACAUUGGAAACAAAUUUAGAAACAUAAAAACAAGUAAUGUGCCACAACAUUUGGCGACUUUGUCCGUAUACAGUGAACAUUGGUUUGCAAAUAAAAAUACAGCAGAAUGGACGCAACAAAAAACAAAGGGUGCAAAAGCAACUAUUGUCAUAUGAAAAGACCUUUGAGCGCCGUCCGUAUGCAUGCACAUUACACCUAAUCCACGCCAGAAAAGGUAGAAAACAUUGGGGUGGGGGGGGGCAUGGCACCUCAAAACGGCAAAUAAAAGUGACUGUCAUUUUCAGGAAUAAACGUGAUCAAAUGAGAAAAAAAAAAAAA